rfam:Ictidomys tridecemlineatus contig042990, whole genome shotgun sequence.
GUGGUUGUGGCUCAGUGGUAGAGCGCUCGCCUAGCACAGGCGAGGCCCUGGGUUCAAUCCCCAACAUCACA